rnacentral:rRNA from 1 species
AAUCAACGCUGGCGGCGUGCCUAACACAUGCAAGUCGAACGAGAAGGUGGAGCAAUCCAUGAGUAAAGUGGCGCACGGGUGAGUAACACGUGACUAACCUACCCUUGAGUGGGGGAUAACCUAGGGAAACCUGGGCUAAUACCGCAUAAUACCUACGGGUCAAAGGAGCAAUUCGCUUUAGGAGGGGGUCGCGGCAGAUUAGUUAGUUGGCGGGGUAAGUGGCCCACCAAGACGAUGACUGUAUCCGGCCUGAGAGGGCGCACGGACACACUGGAACUGAAACACGGUCCAGACUCCUACGGGAGGCAGCAGGUGGGGAAGUUUUGCGCAAUGGGGGAAACCCGUGACGCAGCAACGCCGCGUGGAGGAUGAAGACCCUUGGGUCGUAAACUCCUUUCGAUCGGGACGAUAAUGACGGUACCGGAAGAAGAA